GUUUGAUCAUGGCUCAGGAUGAACGCUGGCGGCGUGCCUAACACAUGCAAGUCGAACGAAGCACCUUUUGAGAUUCUUCGGAUGAUCGAUCGGUGACUGAGUGGCGGACGGGUGAGUAACGCGUGGGUAACCUGCCCUGUACAGGGGGAUAACAGCUGGAAACGGCUGCUAAUACCGCAUAAGCGCACGAGGAGACAUCUCCUAGUGUGAAAAACUCCGGUGGUACAGGAUGGGCCCGCGUCUGAUUAGCUGGUUGGCAGGGUAACGGCCUACCAAGGCAACGAUCAGUAGCCGGUCUGAGAGGAUGAACGGCCACAUUGGAACUGAGACACGGUCCAAACUCCUACGGGAGGCAGCAGUGGGGAAUAUUGCACAAUGGGGGAAACCCUGAUGCAGCAACGCCGCGUGAGUGAAGAAGUAUUUCGGUAUGUAAAGCUCUAUCAGCAGGGAAGAUAAUGACGGUACCUGACUAAGAAGCUCCGGCUAAAUACGUGCCAGCAGCCGCGGUAAUACGUAUGGAGCAAGCGUUAUCCGGAUUUACUGGGUGUAAAGGGUGCGUAGGUGGCAGUGCAAGUCAGAUGUGAAAGGCCGGGGCUCAACCCCGGAGCUGCAUUUGAAACUGCUCGGCUAGAGU
rnacentral:rRNA from 1 species